rnacentral:rRNA from 1 species
GGGCCCGCACAAGCGGCGGAGCAUGCGGCUUAAUUCGAUGCAACGCGAAGAACCUUACCUAGGCUUGACAGUUGGGGAAAUCUGGCAGAGAUGCCAGGUCCGUAAGGGCCCCAAAACAGGUGGUGCAUGGCUGUCGUCAGCUCGUGUCGUGAGAUGUUGGGUUAAGUCCCGCAACGAGCGCAACCCUCGUCGUAUGUUGCCAGCGGAUAAUGCCGGGGACUCAUACGAGACUGCCGGGGUCAACUCGGAGGAAGGUGGGGACGACGUCAAGUCAUCAUGCCCCUUAUGUCUAGGGCUGCACGCAUGCUACAAUGGCCGGUACAGAGGGCUGCGAAACCGCAAGGUAGAGCGAAUCCCAAAAAGCCGGUCUCAGUUCGGAUUGGGGUCUGCAACUCGACCCCAUGAAGUCGGAGUCGCUAGUAAUCG